AUGCAGGAAAUUUCAGUAAAGACUGAUAUGGAGAAUUGGUGCUUGCUUGAAACUCCCUGCUAAUCCGAACUCAGAAACACUUGGGAAAGUAAACUUGGAGCUUCAGCUGCGGAGAAACCUUGAAGCAGAAUUUCGAUUGCUGAAGCUAAAAACACCCUGGUAGAAUACCUAAUUAAGGUCGACGACGCGCUAAUUACGAUAGAGGCCGUUCUAGUUCCAUUUGCGUCGAGUCGCGAGAGAUAGUCGUCAACGCAUUCCGAGACAUGGAUUCUAGUUAUUGACACCACUACAGGGGUUCGUAUACUGUCGGUUGAUCGAGGUGAGGGGGAUCGCGCAGUAGUUAGCAUUUUCUACCAGCAUGCCUUUUCAGUAGAGGACCACCAGAUAGAGUGCUAUGUUGUACAGCCUGCCUGCACUGGCGAGGGGCUAGGCUGUUUUCGUGUACUUUUCUUUUGAGUUUGAGGUUCAUUUAGUGAUGUUCGUGUUGUACGGCAACUUAGUUUGGAAAUAGCGCUCUGAUACAUGUUAUUUGUUUAUUCGGUA